GAUGACUGCAAGAGCACAGCGCAGACUGCUCAAUGAGGUGAAGAAGAAUCCUAGAGUGUCAGCUAAAGACUUACAAAAGUCACUGGCAAAUGCUAACAUCCCUGUUAGCGAAUCUACAAUACGUAAAACACUAAACAAGAAUGGAUUUCAUGGGAGAAUACCACAGAGGAAGCCACUGCUGUCCAAACAAAACAUUGCUGCAUGUUUACAGUUUGCACAAGAUCAC